UGUUUAUGUCAAUUUUGUUUGUUUACAAACAGUUUUUUUUUUUUUUUUUUAUAGUUGAGAUUUUGUAUGAUGUUAUACCAAAACAUACCUUAGGUGGAUUGAAGACUGUCAGUUGUCUUUGAGAAUAGAAACACGUACGCUAGGGUCGUUAUUGCACUGCGGCAUGACAUUAGCGUAGCCAUAGCUAGCUGACAAGAUAAACAUCAAGGCCUAAUUGGCCAACCCCCCCUCGACGAUUACACAAUCAACAUUGACGCAAACAUAAAUGUGCACGCGCACAGUGAGCGAGAGAUCGUAUGAUAAACGCGAGACAGUAAGCGAAGGCGGUGAUGGAGGUGCAUAUUUUAAAAUCCUCAUCAUCGACUCACUUUCUUCGCUUCCUUCGGUGUAUCCGAGCUCUUCUUCCUCUUCAUCCUCAAGACACAAACACACAAAUAAAUAUACUUACAGACGAAGCACAAGAAACUUGUGCCAGGGUCACAAAAAGGUGGUGGGAGGUAAUGAAGUAGUACUGAAGGUUUCGAUAUCAGGUUUCUGUAUUUCACAUGACAACAGCAGUGCCUUGAUGUAAAAUGAAAUAUUACUGUCGUCCCCUUCAUGUAAAUACGUAUGUCUAUUCUUCUGCCCCCUAGGUGGCCGAAGCGCGCACACAAGAAGGAGCAGCACAAUGUCAAUUGAAUUGAAGCAAAAAAAAAAAAAAGUGGUAAAAAUGUUUAAUUCUUAAAUUUGAACUAUUUAAUUAUGUCAAUGUGUUUUUAUUAAGUACAAUAUUAUAGAAUGGUAUUUAUCGAAAUUUGAAAAUAUACAGAUAUCUGUACUUUCUACUCGUUUGUGAAAACAGGCUUGCUAAUUAUUUUGAACCCACGAGAAUGACAACCCGACGUAAAUAAAAAGUGGUAAAGUGAUUGUUUCUCCUUAGUAGAAGCACUAUGCAAGUUCAAGAAUAUUCUUUUAUUAAAAACUAUUUAGUGUGAAGAAAAGUUUGUUUUCAUUGUGUUAUCAAAACAGGUAUUGUAUAUAACUGACAAAAAAUAUUUUAUGCUUUUGUACUUAGUUAAGUACAUUUCACUUCCACUUUUCCAGUCUUUUAUUUUUUAUUUUUACACAAGUAUCAGUACUUCUGCCACCUCUGGAAACAGAUGGUGGGACAUUCAAAGUAAGAGAAUGCUUGAUCCAAUAUGCAAUUGAAGCGCUUUUAAAAGCUUCAAAGUAACGUAUUGAAACAAGUGCUUAUUUUUACUUGCUUUACCGUCUUUACUUUGGUUUUCUUCUAAACCUUAAACGAGUGCCUGCAAGACAAACAUCGCCUCCGUGUUUCAUCUCACCUCCCACGACGAAUGCAGGAAAAAAAAAUGACUGCACAUUGGACAGCUGCUGUGCGGCUACGACAAGACUGAAGGCGGAUUUAAGCUUCAUUAAACAUUUUUAAAGAUGUCUUCGUUUUAAGCUUCACUGAACAUUUUUAAAGAUGUCUUCGUUAUUUACAGAAACACGAAUGUAAUGUUCAUUGAAUAUUCUGAAUUGUCUUUGAUGUUUACAAACACACAUAUGCUAAGUCAAUGGAAGACUAAAUUGUCUUUUAAUGACACGUACAAAACAAAAUUGUCUUCACGAAAACGGACGUGAGGUUCAUUGAAGACUAAAUCGACAAAAUUUACAAACACCGUAUGCUCGGUUCAUUGGAAACUU